rnacentral:rRNA from 1 species
UACAGAGGGGGCAAGCGUUGUUCGGAAUUACUGGGCGUAAAGGGCGCGUAGGUGGCCUUCUAAGUCAGACGUGAAAUCCCUCGGCUUAACCGGGGAACUGCGUCUGAUACUGGUUGGCUUGAGUUUGGGAGAGGGAUGCGGAAUUCCAGGUGUAGCGGUGAAAUGCGUAGAUAUCUGGAGGAACACCGGUGGCGAAGGCGGCAUCCUGGACCAACACUGACGCUGAGGAGCGAAAGCCAGGGGAGCAAACGGG